rnacentral:misc_RNA from 1 species
UGAUAGAAUCCAGACGCGCCGGGCCACCACAUGGAUAGCCACACGAGAGUAACGUACCGGAGGAACGCGGGGUUCCUGGAGAGAAUUGGACAGAGUCUGAUCGGUAUUCUAGUGGGAAUCGGACUUCUGAUUGGAGCAUCUGUUCUGUUGUUCUGGAAUGAGGGACGAGCUGUAAAAACUGCUAAGUCUCUUGAUGAGGGAUUGAGUAAAGUUCUUGUUAUGGAUAAUAUCUUUGGGAUUGAUACAAACAAUGUUGGAUCACUGGUUUACCUAACGGGAGAGCUAUCGACUGGCAAGAAACCAUUGGUAGAUGAUCUCCAUCAUGUGACUGUGAAUGCUGUCAAACUCCAGAGGACAGUGGAAAUGUACCAGUGGGUGGAAACAGAAACUAAAAGAGAAUACAACGAGGGUGGACAAACCAGAACAGAGACCACGUACUCCUAUGAUUUGGAGUGGAGGUCAAAUGUCAUUAACAGUGACUCCUUCGACAACCCUGUUGGUCACAAAAAUCCAAGGGUGUUUCCCGUGGAGUCAAAGUCCCAGGUAGCCAAACCUGUCCAUGUUGGAAUCUAUCACCUGUCUGAUGGUCUCAUCGACCAGAUAAACGAGUUUCAUCCUAUUCCGUCAGACCUACUUCCUGUUCCACAUGGCGGCUACUUAUUACACAACGGAAUGUACUACAUGUCCCAGAAUCCAAACUCUCCUCAGGCGGGAGACAUCAGAGUCAGCUACACAUAUGCUGGUCUGAGUGGGGAAUCAGUGCUAGGGAAACCUGAGGUGGUAAGUAAAAGAUCUGUAAAGUGAAUACAUAAUCUGUUAUAUGACAAUGUUGGCUCUCUCUCCAUAUCUGCAGUGUAGUCACGUGUAGUCACAUGUAGUCACGAGCUUACUCUUGUAGCUUGAUGCUGCUGAACUGUAUAUUUCCUCUCCCAUUUGUAAGGUUUUAUUGAUAGGGGGUUAAUAAAAGGUUGCCUUUGACUUAAAAAAGAUGUUAAUGAUCCUAUCUCAAGGUCAUUUUAAGGCUAUGACACAAAUAUUUUAUCAAACUAGUUAUAAAGAUACAAAAAAAGGUCAUAUUUUUGAGACAGAGGUUGCCCAAAUAUUGAGGGUGGAUGCCAUUUUACGAAAGUAAACUCAAACUUUUGAUUCAGCGAACUCCUGUUCAGUCUUAAUUUAUAAUUUAUUAUCUUGGAGCUUCAUGAAUAAGGGGGUUGUUUUACUAUUGAAUCAAAAUGAAAUGUUGUGAACAUUUAAAAUACCCAAUUGCAAAUGGUAUAUUUUAUAGUUUUAGUGCUAAAUGUUCAAUUUUGACAAAUCAUUUUGAAUUCGUAUUCCUAAAAAUACACCAGUCAGUCUGAGAAUAACAUUCAUGAGGGUACAUGUAUGUCUCACUGUUUUACGUAGAUUGAUUUACGAAUAAAAAAAGAUAUGACUGCACACCGAGUGCAAAAACCUACAAGUAUUCUACUUGUUCAGUUAGUCUAACAUGAGUAGCACUAUUGCAGUACAAUGUAUUGUGUUUAUGUAAACAUGUCUUUCAACUUGCUUAAUUCAUAUCCUGUGUCAUUUAUGUAUGUACUGGUACAUACUGUACAUGUAUCUUAACUGUCUUAAAAGAUAUUAUAUGUCAUAAAUUUACCAGUUGAAUGUACAUGUAUAUGUGUGGCUGCAUUUCAAUAUUGUACCUAUAUUAACUUUACUUGUGCUUCUUAGUAAUAAUAUUGUAUGUACUACAUGUCAAUGAGUGUAGCUUUAUUACAUUAUUGUAUGUACGUGUACAGUAUAUAAGUGUAUAGCUUUAUUACAAUAUUGUACAUCCAUGUACGUGUAAACAUGUGUAGCUUUCUCUGUACCACUUGAAUUGUGGGCAGGUGUGGUCCUACAGCUGUACACAGUAUGUUGUUUAUUGUGUUGAGGUUUGAGUGUGUGUUUUAGACAGAAGUUACGUCUGAUGUGGUAAGAUGUUUCAGAUAACCAGCUUGUUUGUUGAGCUAUGUCUACGUAAAACACAUUUCAUAGUAUUCCCCUAUGU